AUUGAACGCUGGCGGCAGGCCUAACACAUGCAAGUCGAGCGGAGCGGCGGACGGGCGAGUAAGGCCUAGGUAUCUGCCUGGUUGAGGGGGAUAACGUCCGGAAACGGGCGCUAAUACAUCAUACUUUCCGUUGAGCUUAGGCCGGAUUAGCUAGUUGGUGGGGUAAAUGCCUACCAAGGCGACGAUCCGUAACUGGUCUGAGAGGAUGAGCAGUCACACUGGAACUGAGACACGGUCCAGACUCCUACGGGAGGCAGCAGUGGGGAAUAUUGGACAAUGGGCGAAAGCCUGAUCCAGCCAUGCCGCGUGUGUGAAGAAGGUCUUCGGGUUGUAAAGCACUUUAAGUUGGGAGGCGUUACCAGCAGAAUAAGCACCGGCUAACUCCGUGCCAGCAGCCGCGGUAAUAC
rnacentral:rRNA from 1 species